ACAUUCUAAUACUUAGUGAUACAUAAUGACAUUUAGUGAAUGAAUUUUAAAGGAAUUUUUAAAUUUAAUAUUUAACUAUUCCUAAGCCAAAGGUUGUUCAUGAAGAAAGUAUAUCCUAUUUUUAACAAAUGUUAUGCUGGGUCUUGAUAUGGUCUUGAUCAGAUAGGGCUGGCACAGUAUCCGCUAUUUGCAAUAAGUGUACUAGCAGAGGUAUAGACAAAAAUAUGGUGGUCAAUAGAAAAUGUUUCGUUUGCGUUUUAUUAAUGAUAAAUCUUACAAGAAUUCUGUCGACGUCUGAAGAGGAUGAGGAUGUAAAAUACGCAAAUAGAUGUGAAGUGUGUAAAGUAGUUGCAACAGAACUCGAGCAACGGCUUCAAGAAACUGGUAAAACUCAUGAAGUAAUUG